UACGUAGGCAGCGAGCGUUGUUCGGAUUUACUGGGCGUAAAGGGUGUGUAGGCGGUUUGGUAAGUCUGGUGUGAAAUCUCCCGGCUCAACUGGGAGGGUGCGCCGGAAACUGCCGGACUAGAGUGCGGGAGAGGAGAGUGGAAUUCCUGGUGUAGCGGUGAAAUGCGUAGAUAUCAGGAGGAACACCGGUGGUGUAGACGGCUCUCUGGACCGUAACUGACGCUGAGACACGAAAGCGUGGGUAGCAAACAGG
rnacentral:rRNA from 1 species